rnacentral:rRNA from 1 species
GACGUAGUUGAUCAGUGGCUCGAGGACGAACGCUGGCGGCGUGCCUAACACAUGCAAGUCGAACGGAGUUAUUUCUUCGGAGAUAACUUAGUGGCGAACGGGUGAGUAACGCGUGAGAAACCUGCCUUUCAGUGGGGGACAACAGUUGGAAACGACUGCUAAUACCGCAUAAUGUCAUUUGGGGGCAUCCCUGGAUGACCAAAGAUUUAUUGCUGAAAGAUGGUCUCGCGUCUGAUUAGCUAGAUGGCGGGGUAACGGCCCACCAUGGCGACGAUCAGUAGCCGGUCUGAGAGGAUGAACGGCCACAUUGGGACUGAGAUACGGCCCAGACUCCUACGGGAGGCAGCAGUGGGGAAUAUUGGGCAAUGGGCGAAAGCCUGACCCAGCAACGCCGCGUGAAGGAAGAAGGCCUUCGGGUUGUAAACUUCUUUUACCAGGGACGAAAUUUGACGGUACCUGGAGAAAAAGCAACGGCUAACUACGUG